UGUGUCUCCAAACACCCAGGGCCACCUGAGCUCAGCCUGGGGGCAGCUGGUCCCUGCCACAGCUGUACCUGGUGAGUCCCCAGCCUGCCUUGAGCCAGACCUCCACCUGUGGGUUGACUUCCAUCUGGACCUCUUUGUGACCCUAAUAUUGCAUUAUGUUCUCAGUGCUUGGUGGGAUCUGGUCUCUCUCUCCAGUGUUGCACCACUUGUCUUGCUUAGGUACUUGUAGAUGUGCUCUGGCUGAAGAGGUCUCUUCUUGACCUUCCAUGGGGUGCCCUCUGCUCUGGGUUGUCCUCCUAUUAGACAGUAGCCCUGCUUGGGUGGCUCCAUCCCAUGCUGAUCUGAGAAAACUUCCCCCAGCAAGGAAGGUGGGACUGGAGGGGACUGGAACUGUGGUUGAGUAUACCUUUGGGGAGAAGCAACAGGUCUGGAACGGAUAUUAUGCAAACCCUACAACUCUACUGGUGCACGCUGCCUUGCAGGGAAUGAAGUUACUCCAUCAAAACAUUCAGACAAAUAUUGACAACUAGCUGUGCAAACUGAGUGUUUCCUCUGUGAACUUGACCAUGAUCUGACCAUGCUCUUCAGGUGCCAAAAGCUUCUUCAAGACUCAAGGUCCUGAAUAACUAGAACUCAAGAUUUGUUCCAUGUUUUAGAAAAUGUCGUCAUAUGUAGAGCAUGGAAUUAAUAGGCACCCCUGCUUUUCUGCCCUUCCACUGGUACCUCCUGUUGCUUGUUACAGUUAAAGACACUUCACUAAUAUGAUGACUUGGCAACUGUCUUGAACUUUCC